CCUACGGGUGGCUGCAGUGGGGAAUCUUGCGCAAUGGGAGCAAUCCUGACGCAGCAACGCCGCGUGGGUGAUGAAGGUCUUCGGAUCGUAAAGCCCUGUCGGAGGGGAAGAUGCUUUUCGUAGCUAAUAUCUACGGGAGGUGACGGUACCCUCAAAGGAAGCACCGGCUAACUCUGUGCCAGCAGCCGCGGUAAUACAGAGGGUGCAAGCGUUGUUCGGAAUUAUUGGGCGUAAAGGGAGUGUAGGCGGUUCUCUAAGUCUUCUGUGAAAUCUAC
rnacentral:rRNA from 1 species